UCUGUUGUGUAGCUUUGUGGUUUGUCUUCAUUAUUUUGCAUCUUUUCCCCCAUAUCCAACAGCUGUUUGACUUGCGUUUUGUCCUUAUUGUCGAGCACCAAGAACCUUUUUUCACAGCUCUGAAUGAGCUCCUGAACUUCCUUGCUUUGGUCUACAAAGUUAAUAACAGCUGGAGCGGAAGGAUCUGACUCCACAGUGAACAGAAUCAUGGUGAAGUCAUUGACUGGAGGUCCAAAUGUGUCCUGGAUGGUCUUUAACUCUCCCUUGUCUUCAUCACUGAGUGGACCCACAGGUAGGACCAGGAUAAAGGCAUGAACACCUUCAGGAUCACAGAGGGAGACACUUCUGAGUGACUGCUCCAUCACAGUCUCCAGAGGGUUUUGAUACAAAACAGGAAGCUCCACCAGAGACACCCAACGUCCACACACCUCCCCCUGAUGUUUCACACACUCUGAUGAGCUGGAGGCUGAAUGAAGACCUGUCUGACCUAAAAUGACCUCUGCUGCUGAAGUCUUCCCUGCUCCUCUCCUCCCACACAGGACCAGGUUUAAUGCUGGUUUCAUCUCUUUGGACUUCAGUGUGAUCAGUUCAUCAGUCAGAGUGAGGGAGGCUCCUCUGUUCUCUCUAAGGAUGUUCAUGAUCUUCAUCAUCAGUGACCUGUGGUUGUUUUCAGCCAUGCUGUAGUGUCUUUCUCUGCAGUCGUUAAGUAGAUGUCUAAAAGAGGCGCUUGCUUCUCCUUCCUCAUGUGUGCUGAUGACCACUGAAUGUUUAAAAGCAUCUUGCUCAAACAAACUAAGGAUCAUCUUCAGGGUUUGUCUGUUCUCCUCAGUGAAAUCAGAAGGUUUCAGCAACAGCAGCAGAACAUUUGGUCCUGGAGGACAGAGACUCACAGCGUUCUUCAGCACUUCCACAGACAGACUGAAAAUGUCUGGAGUUUUCACUAGUGUUAAAGCCUGUCCUUCCCACUCUCCAGUCUCCACCAUUUGUUUGGUUACAAAAGGUUUUGUCAGAUUGUGUUUCCAGUGUUGUGUCCAGAUUGGUGUCCACUGUUGAGUCCAGUGUUGUUUCUUUUGGGUGAUGAAGUUACAAAGUUUUGUUUUUCUGUCAUCGUUAUUCCCCAGCAACAAAAGUCGGACUAUAACAAAACAGAAACAUGUAACAAAGAAACAGUGAGUUGUGAGGGAUUAUCUUACCAAUUUAAUUAUAAUCCUUAUAAAUUUUUUAAAUAUAUUUAAAUGUAUACAUACCAGGGGGAGAAACACCUUGCAUGAUACCAGGUCUUGCUUCUGCUUGUCGUGUGAUCGGUAAAUCAGAAGUGGUGUCAAUGAACACAUCACAGCUGACAUGCUCUCCUCUGUUCUCCUUCAUGAUUUGACCCAAACGUGUCAACAGCUCUGGAAGUUCAAGGCCUGUCUGAUCUAAGUACCCAUACCUACACUCUUCGAUCAUGUCUUUGAGGGGUGGAUACUGCAGAUAUUUUCCUCUGACAUCUGAGCUCUGCUCUCUUGGUGAUGAUAUCAGUAUCAAUGAAUGAUCAAAUGAUCGAUCACUGAAACGUUCAAGGACUCUGCAGAGUCUCUGUUUGUGUUCCUCAGUGAAGUCCUCAGGCUGUAAAACCAGCAGGAACACAUGAGGUCCAGGAUCAGAGAGUCUCACACAGUCUGUCACAGUUUUUGUCAGUUUUUCUUCAGAGAUGUUGGGAUGGAUCAGAUCUGGAGUGUUGAUGAGAACUAUGUCUUUGUCCUUUAUUCGACCUUUUUCUUUCAAACAGUCACCACACUCCUCUUUGUCGAACACACUCUCUCCCAGUAUGAAGUUCCUCACUGAGCUCCUCCUAGACUCGCUGUUGCCCAGCAGAACAACCCUCAGCUCAGACACUGUGAGAAACAAGGAUAUAGAAAAGAUUGACUUGUACCUGCAUUGACUUAUAACUUUAUUCCUAGCUCAUUUCAAAUGUUUGAUUAUCUACUCAGAGGUUUUAAUCACAGAUUCUCAGGGAUAGAAGUUUCACUCACUGUCAGGUGGUAAAAAUUUAAAGCUUCUGCUUUUCCUCAGAGGGAAUGGACCACCUAAAAUCAGAAAGACAAAUAUGGAUAUGGGUGAUCAAAGUUUUUCAUUGUUAUCAUUACAGUUAUUAAAGCUCCAGUGAAGAGUUUUGAACCAAUUGUGAAACUCACUGAAAUGAAUACUAAAGCCUCUCAAUGACCUACAGAAGCCAACAAGACCAUCUGCAACAUGUUCACUAUCAUUUAUAAUGUACAUUUUAAUGUCUAAAACAGAGAAGAUUGUCAGCCAGCUGUAGAAAAAGCAUUUCUUUAAAACUUUGUAACAGUAAAUAUCAGUAAUGAAUGACAUAUUUGAUUACUGAGAAAAGUGGGGUUAGAUUCAUUUUGAAGAAAAAGCUCUUUGGCAUUUCCAGAAUAAAAUCAGUUCAGUAAUAAAAUGUAAAUCUUUGACCGCUGGGGUUGAAAAACUUGACACAGACCAAACAUGGCUCACAUAAGUUUUAACAUAAAUUGACCUCUUGUACAUUGAAUAUAACAUGAAUUGAUAUGUUUGAUUCAAACCUUAGUUUUAAGACACAUUUCUCUCAAACAGAUCUUUUUCUAUACCACUCAGUAACACCUCCUUUUGUUGUGCUCCUCUCUCAUGUGGAGCCUCUCAGGGGUCUUUCCCAGUUUCCCUUUUAUUCACUGUAAUCAUGCUCCCCUGGGGCAUGGUGUAAACUUUCACUGCUGUGCAGAUGAUACUCAGCACUAUAGCCCUAUGCCCUGUUAAAACCUGGCACCACAGCUGUGUCUCACAUUAUGCCCUGAACAUUUUCUGCAGUUGAAUGACUCCAAAUCUACAGUUAUUGUCAUUUGCAAGUUUCCCAACGUGUCCUUGUAAAGUCGAGAACGUCUUCACUCUGGACAGAUGAUAGAUGCAUAUAGCAUCGUUUCGCUCCUUUUUAUGCACUUUUGAAGGCUGUUUUCUUUUUUCCUUUUCUUUUCUUCCUCUACGCUUGUCUUGCUGCGAGAUGCGGUCGUCACCAUGUUUGUGUUUUUCUGAUACUAUGGCAACGAGACUCGGCUCCUAUUGGUCCACGUGACAAAAAUCGCUUCACCCCUUUGCAUAUUCGAUUGCGCGUGUGCAAGUAUCAUUACGCCGCAGAAAGGUAAUAGUUCGACACCGAAACACUGAUUACUAAAAAUCGACUGGAUGGCAGUAGAUAUAUUUUUUAGUACUUACUAUCAAUAGAGCUAUUUUAUGAAUCACAGUUUAUGUUGCCCCACUAAAGUGGAACGAAAUUCACUUUCUAGGCACUUGUUCCUCUGUCCCAAUACAGCCUAAGAGGUCUGAGUACAUCCUGGAAAUUUCAUCUUGUUUGGAGCAAAUUUGACCGCUUUCUGAUGCUUAAUGUACAGUCUUAAUUGGAUAUUGCCACGCCUUUCAUGGGCAGUUGAAAGCAUUUAGGGAAGUCAAACCACCACAGAUGUGAUCCUCAGGGCGGGCAGAACAACAUAGUAAAAUUUCAUCAUCCUAGGUUAAAAGGAAAAAAAUCUACCCCCCUGUGAAACUGGAGAAAAUCAGGGUCUGUGAAUUAUGCAUUCUUACAGCCUUUGUGAGCAGUAUUGAUGAAGAUCAAAUCCAGGUUCUAAUAUUUUGACUUGGGCUGCAUACACCAAAUUUAAGACACAUAUAAGGCCUAAGAGUAGUAUGUACUGUGAAUUUCAGCCAUUUCAGACUCAAGAGCAUCCAGUGUCCCAGGUUAGUUUUGUGUUUCUUAAAUCCAGAACUCACUGGCCUGAUUAAAUUACUGAUGGGGGCUCUUCAGUUUCCUCUAUGACAUGUAAAAUGAAAGGAGGGUUAGGGUUAGGUUUGGGUACCUGGAUUAUUCAAAGGCUGACAAAACUCACCUGCUGCUGCAGCCGCCAUGACCUCUCUCUGCUGGAAACACCACAGACCAAUUCAACUACAAAAGAGCAGAGUUUGAGGGUUUGAAAAAAAGGAGUACAAUCUAACAUCUGCUGCCAUCUAAACAAAGACUUUUUUCAGGAUAGGCCUUCAUAUUUCAGCAAGACCUUGACAAACCACAUUCUGACAACAGAGAUUAUAACAGCAUGGCUCUGUCGUAGAAGAGUCUUGCUGAGAAACUGGUCUGACUGCAGUCCUGACAAUCAUUUAUCUGGAACAUUUCAUAUGAUGAACCAAAAACAGCAAAGGAGACCCUGAACCUUUGAUUGGCUAAAAUCCUGACAAGCAAGAAUUGGACAUUAUUUUACUUUCACAAAAUGAGCAUUUAUUUCUAUUUCGAGCAAAACAGAUCAUUUUAAUAGUUCACAACACAGGACCAAGCAACUACUGUCAUCUACUGGUAAGAAGCUGCACCAUAAAAUAACUGUCUGUUCAGAACUGAGCUGCCAGAGUUUAAACCAGGAUCAGAAAACACGACCAUGUCACUUCUGUGCCAGCAGCUUUACACUUGCUACCUGUACCUUUUAGAACUGAAGUCUGGAUUUUACUGAUGACUUUUAAAGCCCUACGUUGCCUUUGAAACAUGUUAGUGUUGUACAAGUUGACCAAUACAUUGAGAUCCUCAGGUGUUUUUCCUGAGCUGUUUUAUGAUUACAAUGGUUAUGUUGGUGAAUACUGUCAUUCUUUCCACAAACUCUAUUUCGUUGCUUUGUCACCACUCAGAUUUUUGUCCUCUUCAUUCCUCUAGCUGUGUUUGUUUCUUUCAUUUGCUUUAUUUCCCUGUGUGCUUGCUGUAAAGCACUUUGGAUCAACUAUAGUUUGUCUAAAGCGCUCUAUGAUAAAAUGUGGUUUUAUAUACUUCUUUUGAGAAUUCUUUGAAAUGAAUAGUACAUCUUUUAAAUGUGGGUUAUUUCUUGAUCUUGGCCUUGUGUGAUUUUAGCUCUAUUUUUAUUCAAUAUUUUUUCCUGCCCUUGUAAAGCGAUAUGUAACCUGGUUUUUGAAAGUUAUUAUUGUUGCUGUUGUUGUGAAAAUAUUGCAUUGCCACCUGCUUAAAAUAAUGGUAUAAGUAUUUUUUUACUCAUGCCAUUAUUUUAAUAAGGUGAGAAAAUGUCUAUUCUCUUUGAUGCAGCUGGAUCAACAUCAUCUACAUCAUUUUUUAACCAAAAUGAACAUGUCAGACCAAAGCUGAUGACUUGUGCUGCUCCUGACAUCUAAAAUGGCGUCCGGAAUUUACGUCCUGUCUAAGGCUCGUCAUCACAGACUUCUCAGCAAGUCAACUCAUGUCUAAAAAUCUGAAUAAAUAACCAAUGAGUGGAAACAAGCAGGAGUUUAAUUCAGAACAGCCAAAUAAAAGAGGGGCUGUGAGGAUUUUCAAAGUUAAUGUGAAAUCGGAUCAUCCUGCAUUUUUCAUUGGGGUUUGUUCGUUAGAGUAGAGGAUAAUCAGACAUCACAUUUAGUUUGUAUAAUUCAGUUGGCAUAACAAUUAAUACAAAACAAACGUAAAGGUAAUCUACCAUGACUUGUAUCAUUUGGAUCUUUUUAAAUCAACUUUUAAUCGAGUUUACUCACCUCUGGAAUUUCUCGCUGUGACACAAUCAGCAGUGGAAGUAAAAGUAAAAAAUCAGAUAAGGGAUUCGGACAGGUUAGGUCACUAAAACAAAAAAAAAAAUGUAACACUUAUAACCUUUUUUUAUUGGCUCAGAACUCUGUCACUCACAGCAGUCCUGCUCAGAUAUUAGUUUGAUUGGCUGUCACACAAGGACGAUUCUUGAUUGGAAAAUAACCCACCCCAUCUCAGAGCCCAACCCCACCCACCCCACCCUACCCUCACACACACACACACACACACACACACACACACACACACACACACACACACACACACACACACACACACACACACACACACACUAUAAGUAAGUCCAAACUAGACAUUUUCUACACAAGCUGCAACAACAGAUAUAACAGCUAAAUGAGACUUUAUGAUCCAAUGCAUUUGCUGAAGGUUUAUGUUUUUUGUAUUUGCAAUCAUAAUUUUGCGUCAUGUAGAGCUGAUCAGACAAGCAAACAAUCAUAGUCAGAAAAUUGUCAUGUUUAAGAUGUUUAUAAUCAUGUAGUUUGAUGGUAAAGUCAAUGCCUGAGGCUUUUACUUUCACACAAUUAUUACGCAUAAUUUAUUCCCCCCAAAAUAUGGAUGUAUAAAAUCACAUGAGCAUCUUAUCUAGAAAUUGAGUUUUUAAUGUAUUUUCCCCCAAAAUUUUCUUUUUUCUUCCACACGAAUACAUGAAAUAAUAACUAAUCAAAAAUAACUUUAAAAAGGGCAUCUCUUCGGCAUUAAAUUUAGUCUUUUAUUCAAUAUCUGUAUUGCUGAGCCUCUACAGUAGGCUAUACCCUUUAAGUUACUUACAUUUGGACUCCUAAAAAAGUCUCUUAUGUCCCGUUUUCUUUUCUUUGACAUCCUUCAUACUUGAAUCCUUUAUACCACACACUCAUGCACGCACGCACACACACACACACACACGCACGCAAACACACACAAACAUAAAUGUAAAUGUAAAUGACACCACUGAUACUAAAAUCCAUUUAAGCUGACGUGAUCCAGGCACAAAAUGCCAAACAUGUUGAUAUACACUUCGUGGUUGCAGAUAACUUGCACUGUCUGCCUCCUAUCCAGUCCAAGCAAACACAAAGUUUUACACUUAAAAAUAAAUGAAUAAUUGAAGAAAGAAAAAAAGAAAAGACAAAGAGGCCUUUUUGAAAACUGAGGUAUGAAAAAAAGGUCACUCAGUCAUCAGGUGUCACCUCUGAGUGGUGGUUUCUGAAAAGAAAAAGUGUUUUGUGAAAUAUGUUCUUGAUCACACUUGCUGUUUGGCAAAUUAUUAUUAUUAUUUUUUAUUAAGUGUCCCCAGCUUCUUUCAGUGCUGUAGUGUUGCAGUCAUUGGCUUUUGAACAUAGUCGGAUGGAUGGUAUUGGGUUCAAAAUCCUGGUAGAGGGCCUUCUUUGCGGUGCUAGAAUUUUCAUGCUUUACUGCUGCAGGCAUGACACUCCUUAAAUCGUCACAAAGUUGUAGAGAGCAGAUAAAACUGAAGGAAUAAGCCCUGCAAAACAGCACUUUAUAGUAAUGAUUAGCACUAAUGCCUCAUACUGAGCAGGUUCUGGGUUUGAGCUCUGGCAGAGAUCUUCUCAUGGGUUCCUGGAAGUUUCUGGUUCCAAAUUCAUGUUAGAGCUUUCCUUGUUGCGCUUAAAUUGACUAGUCUUCUAACACUGGAGUAUAGAUCACACAUUUAGAGUCCCCUGACAGAUUGCAUUAUUGGUGUUGUUUUAAAACCUGGAGAACACAUAUGUGUUCCUUUGACUGCAGCACACUGAUCAGAUGUUCAGGUCUGUGGGCUUCACUUACUACAGAGAAGUAUCUCUGAUUUCAAGCAAAACAGAUCAUUUUAAUAGUCCACAACACAUGACCAAACAACUACUGCCAUCUACUGGUAAGAAGCUGCACCAUAUAACAACUGUGUUCAGAACUGAGCUGCCAGGGUUUAAACCAGGAUCAGAAAACAUGACCACAUCACUUCUGUGCCAGCAUCUUUACACUGGCUACCUGUACCUUUUAGAACUGAAUUCUGGAUUUUACUGAUGACUUUUAAAGCCCUAUGUUGCCUUUGAGACAUGUUAGUGUUGUACAAGUUGACACACAUUAAGAUCCUCAAUAUGAGUCUUCUGGUUAUUUCAGAUAUCAGACCAACAUCUAAAGAGGACAGAAAAAUCUAAGGCUCCAAAACUAUAAGAAGAUCUGCUGGAGGAGAUCAGAUCAGCUGGGUCAGUGAUCACUCUUAACUCCUCUCUGAAAACACACUCUUGUCUUAGAGCCUUUCCUGAACCCAGCUGAAUUUGAUUUUUUAUUUGAGUUUAUUUUAUUUUUUAUCCACACUAUAAAGCUCAGGAACCCUUUUACUUACUCUUUCAUUUGCUUUAUUUCCCUGUGUGCUUGCUGUAAAGCACCUUGGAUCAACUAUAGUUUGUCUAAAGCGCUCUAUGAUAAAAUGUGGUUUUAUAUACUUGUUUUGAGAAUUCUUUGAAACGAAUAGUACAUCUUUUUAAAUGUUUUAAACAUCUUUUAAACGUGGGUUAUUUCUUGAACUUGGCCUUGUGUGAUUUUAGCUCUAUUUUUAUUCAAUAUUUUUUUCUGCCCUUGUAAAGCACUUUGUAACCUGGUUUUUGAAAGUUUUUAUUGUUGCUGUUGUUGUGAAAAUAUUACAUUGCCACCUGCUUAAAAUAAUGGCAUAAGUAUUUUUUUUUAAACCUAGGCCAUUAUUUUAAUAGGGUGAAAAUAUGUCUAUUCUCUUUGAUGCAGCUGGAUCAAAAUCAUGUAAAUCGUUUUUUAACCAAAACGAACAUGUCAGACCACAGCUGAUGACUUUUGCCCCCUCUGACAUCUAAAAUGGCGUCCGGAAUUUACGUCCUGUCUGAUGCUCGUCAUCACAGAGUUCUCAGCAAGUCAACUCAUGUCUAAAAAUCUGAAUAAAUAACCAACUAGUGGAAACAAGCAGGAGUUUAGUUCAGAACAGCCCAGUAAACGAGGGGCUGUGAGGAUUUUCAAAGUUAAUGUGAAAUUGGAGCAUCCUGAAUUUUUCAUUGGGGUUUGGUAGUUAGAGUAGAGGAUAGUCAGACAUCACAUGUAGUUUGUAUAAUUCAAUUGGCAAAACAAUUAAUACAAAAUAAACGUAAAGGUAAUCUACAAUGACUUGUAUCAUUUGGAUAUUUUUAAAUCAACGUUUAAUCGAGUUUACUCACCUCUGGAAUUUCUUGCUGCGACACAAUCAGCAGUCAAAGUAAAAGUAAAAAAUCAGAUAAGGGAUUCGGACAGGUUAGGUCACUUUAAAAAAAAAAGUAACAAUUAUAACCUUUUUUUUAUUGGCUCAGAACUCUGUCACUCACAGCAGUCCUGCUCAGAUAUUAGUUUGAUUGGCUGUCACUCAAGGACAAUUCUUGAUCGGGAAAUAUCAUAGACUGUAUAUAGCAUGGACAGCCUGGUUCCGCCUUCCGCCUGUACGGAUUUAAAGCCAAAAAGCCCUCGGUAAUUCCGGGGUUUUCUACACUUCCUUGAAACCAGAGCUGUGCCGUAGCGUUAUACGCAGACGUUUUUGGCUGGGCGGGAGAAUCGGCUCGAUAACGCUCCGCUCAAAAAGUGCCUCCGCCCCCGGAUGUCCUUCCAGCCUUUCAUUCGUAACGCUAAUAGCUUCCCCGCUCGUCGCGACCAAGAAUAAGUAAGUUCUACUUCUCCUAAUAUAAUGUAAAAUGUGUCAGCGGUCAUGUCACAUGUCGGUUAACACAGUUUACUGCAGAACAACUCAUUUUUCCAAUGCAACAAAAGAGAAAAAUCAAGAAAACGCUAGCAAACCCGAUCGGUCUUGACGAUGAACGAAAAAGAGUGACGCACAAGCGGCAAGUGCAAAGUGUAGAGAAUGACGCAAUUUCCUGUUUUUAUGACUCCUAGUAACUUUAAAAUGGAGCUGCAGAGAGAGAAAAAGACCUGAACAUAAACCAGUCUAAUAAUAACUACAUGUCAACAUCGCAAUCAGGGGUGAGAAAAGUGUAUUUCUGAGUGUGCUGUUCUUGGGGUGGCUUCAUCCGGUGAGGAGGCAGACUAUAUUCUACAUACAGUACAUUCUACAUACAGUCUAUGGUCUUAACAUUUAGACUGAACAAAAGGACUGGUCAAAGCCAUGAUGCUGUUUACCCACACAUGCACUCUAACAGAAAAUAAAAGUGACAGGAAUGAUGAAAAACAUUAAACUCUAAAAGCAGCAGGAGUCUUUGUCACAGCAGGGGAGCACCACUGGAAGCUCUCUGGAGUUUGACAUUGAGUUCAUGUGCUGCCUGAAUCCUGUCCUUCAGUCAAUGAGUUGUAAUGAUUGAAUUUGAAAUUGAUUAUGGUAUUUUGGAUCUCCUGCAGUUGGGUUUAUUUACUGAUUCAGUUUUCAGCUUUUAUCUUCUGUGCUUUUCUUUUAUUUGAUUUUUCUGUUUUGGUUGGUUAUUUUUGCUUGCUUGUCACAUCACUUUGUAACUGUUUUAUGUAAUUUUAUAAAUACCAUUGUUAUAAUUUUCGUAGUAGUAGUAUUUAAUGCAAAAACUGACUUCAUUUAAAUCAAGUCAUAAAACAUGUAGUUAUCAAAAAAUACAGAAGAAGCAGUAGUAUGGAAAACUUGAACAGUAAAUAACAGAUAUGUCAGCACGUAAGAAUGUGUGAUUAUUUUUCUUUUAUAUAUGUUCUUUGUUUAGUAUCUGUCAUUUUGCUGCAGACAAAAGAUCAAAACUGGACCUUAAACAAGAAAGACAGCAACAAGUUGUUUAAAUAUUUCAUCUCUUUAUUCCAAAAAUAGAGAAAAGAAAAAGACAUCUGCAAAACUUGUGAUAAUGAACAAAUAGCAUUAAGAUUUUAGAAACAUUAAAAACAUGUUUACCAAAUCAGUAGCUGUCAACUGGUGUACAGUUUUUAACAUAUUUAAGAUAUAUAAAAAAAAAAUCAUGGAAGUAAAAUAAAUCAUGUUUUGUAUGAUUCAAGAAAAAACAAGACUCUACAGAUUUUUUUUAAUUUUAUUACAUUAUUUUAUUGUACAUUAUUCGCUCAUUGAUAUAACUAUAUUCAUGGUUCAAAAUAGAAAAAAUAUAUAUGUUUGCUGUUUUUACACUAAAAGUCAAGUAAAAUCUGAACUAGUUUAGAAAUGUCUAUGAUGAUAAAUAAUGACAGAUCUGAUAGUUCUGUUCGUUUAGUGCAACAAUGUAAAAAACACAGUAUACCACAGAUGAUGGCUUUUUUCACCUGCAGCUGGAGUCCCGACUCUCAUAACUGAAAAUCUCAUUAAGUCUCUUGCAGUAGAACAUCAUUUUGGAGAAGGAAACAAGGCAGACUAGGAAAGCUUACUACUGCUAGCUGCUAAGCUUCCUGGUACUUCCACUAAACUAGCAGUUCCUUUUCAGCCCCUUCACCUUCAAACAUGUUGUAUAAACACUUAUAUUGUCAUCAUGCAUCUAUGAGUGGAUUUUGUAUUUAGAACAUCUGUCUCUGUUUUUGCUUCACAUUUACUAUCUUUGCCAUGAUUUUAUCUCGUCUGAUUUCUGCUUUGGUCAGCUGGCUUCCUGUUUGGCUAUCGAGUUGCUCCACUGUUUUACUAACAGUGUUUGGCCAUCCUCAGGGAUCCCCCAGCAUGUAAAGAUCUCAGGUCAAAUAUAUUGAACAUGUUUAGAAUUAGCAAUUCUGAAUCAGGGAGGCUCUGAUUAUCUUGGGAGAGAAGAAAAGUCACUUUUUACACACCUCACACCACAGGAUAAUCUGGAAAGAUAUCACUUAGAACCAUUCCAUGAUCAAUCUUUUGAUGACUUUCACUGCAAGGAGGAAAUCGAACCCAAGUGUGUGCCUCUCUUUAGGAAAUAAACACUGUACAAUGUCCUCCGUUCAUAUUUGACCAACUUCAGUCAUUUUACUGUUUUUCCAUGUUUAACUUUGAUAAAGUACUUUUUAUGGUUUAUGUUUACGGCCAGUUUGUGCAGCAGUUAAGGCAAUCACUUUGCUUUAGUUUUGUUGGUGACAUAACUUACAAUGGAGCAUCACUACUGUUUCUAUGGUAACACAUUGACUAGGCUUCAGAUGAAAUUUCAUUACAGCCAUAAACAAAUGUGUGCAUGGGAAUAUCUGUGAAUAUAUCCGUACAAUAAUGCAAGGACUUGUACAGAUUUUUCACAUUUAAGUUAUUGAAACCCAAAAAAGUUUUUGAUGUAUGUCCACCAUGUUUCAUCAGCUUGACUCAAAAGUUUCUUUAACAGCAGGUCUAUUUCUAUUUCAUGCUUGUAGUCCAGAUUUUCUUUUUCCUCCUCAUUUUUCUGCUCUUUCGUUUCUUCUUCCUGUCUUCUCAGUAAGUCACUGAUUUCUUUCAGGCUGUUCUGAUUGGCCACAUUUUUCAGUAUGUCACAGAUUUGGUCCAGGUGUUUUUUCCUUCUUUGUUCUUCAUUGUGGGCUGAAAGUGCUUUUAAGAGGUCAUACUGCUCAUCUUUGUGUUGAAUCUGUUUCUCAUACUCUUCCCUCAGAGCUUCAUGUUCUCUUCUGUGUUUGUCUAUGAAGUCAUUGAUCUCUUCAGCUUCCUCUCUGGCUUCAUCAAUGAAUGUCUUCUUCAGAUUCUCAAUUUCUUUAUUAUAUUUCUCCUCGAUGGCCUUUUUUUCUUGUCUUUCUUGUUCUCUUCUGAUCCUGUCCUCCUCCUUCUUUUCCUUUUCAAAGUUUUCUCUCUCCUGUUCAUAUUCUUUUUGUUUUUGGAGUCUUAUUUCUUCUUUUUGUCGUCUCUGUUCCUCUUCUUGAUUUAGUUUUUCCCACCAUUCUGUCUGUUGUUUCUCAAACCUCUCUCCCUCAUUUCUCAUCCUUUCUCUGGUCUCCUCCAGCUGUCUGUCAGUGUUUUCUUUUUCUUUAGUUUCUGACUUUAUCUUUUUCUCCAGAUCUUGAAGUUUCUGUUCCCACUCCUGUCGUUGAAGCUUUUCCUGCUCUUUUCUCGCUCUCUCUUCUUCUUCUCUCUUUUGCCACUCAAUUUGUCUGCUCUCUUGUUCCUUCUUGAUGAUUUCCUCUUUUUCUUGCAGUUAUUUUUCUCUCAGUCUUCUUUCCUUUUCAAUUUCUUAUCUCUGUUGUCUCUUUUGCUUUUCUUCUCGCUCUUGCCUUUUUAAAUCUUCUUUUCUUUCCUUUUCAUAUUUUUCUCUCUCCUCUUCAUAUUCUUUUUGAAGUUCUUGUAGUCUUGUUUGUUCUUUUUGUCGUCUCUGUUCCUCUUGAUUUCGUUUUUCCCACCAUUCUGUCUGUUGUUUCUCAAACCUCUCUCUCUCAUUUCUCAUCCUUUCUCUGGUCUCCUCCAGCUCUCUGUUCAUGUUUUCUUUUUCUUCUGAUUCUGACUUUAUCUUUUUCUCUAGAGUUUGAAGUUUCUGUUCCCACUCCUGUCGUUGAGAUUCUUCCUGUUCUCUCCUCUUCCUGUCUUCUUCUUCUCUCAUUUUCCUUUCUUUAAAUCUACUCUCUUGUUCCUUCUUAAUGAUUUCCUCCUUUUCUUGCAGUUCUUUUUCUCUCAGUCUUCUUUCCUUUUCGAUUUCUACUCUCUGUUGUCUCUUUUGCUUUUCUUCUUGUUCCUGUCUUUUCAAAUGUUCUUCUUUUCUUUCCCUGUCAUAUUUUUCUCUUUCUUUUUUUAUCUCUUCUUUUAGUUCUUGCAGUCUUAUUUGUUCUUUUUGUCGUCUCUGUUCCUCUUCCUGAUUUCGUUUUUCCCACCAUUCUGUCUGUUGUUUCUUCAACCUCUCUCUUUCUUUAUUCAUCCUUUCUCUGGUCUCCUCCAGCUGUCUGUUCAUGUUUUCUUUUUCUUUAGUUUCUGACUUUAUCUUUUUCUCCAGAGCUUGAAGUUUCUGUUCCCACUCCUGUCGUUGAGAUUCUUCCUGUUCUCUCCUCUUCCUCUCUUCUUCUUCCCUCAUUUUCCUUUCUUCACAUCUGCUCUCUUGUUCCUUCUUGAUGAUUUCCUCUUUUUCUUGCAGUUCUUUUUCUCUCAGUCUUCUUGCUUCUUCUGUUUCUUUUCUUUGUUUUUCCAUCUUUUUUUCCAUUUCUUUUAUUUCCUGCUCAUGUUGUCUUUGAAGUUCCUCCUUCUCUUUCUUCAUCUCUUCCUCCUUCUCUUUAAGGGUCCUCUCCAUUUCUUUCUUUAUAGCAGUUUCAGCUCCUUGCAGCAUCUCGUUGGUGAAGCAGCUGCCUCUGUUUGUCUUCACCAUUGUGUCAAUCUUUGCUAUCAGCUCACUGACCUGCUCUCUGUUUUGUUUCUCACGGUUGUUGAACACGUGGUAUCUUCCUCCACAGUCAGCGAUCAGUUUCUUAAAGGAAUCGUCACGAAUGUAAUCAAUAUAUUCCUCAGCUGACAUGUUGUCUUGUUCUAGUGAAUCUCCUCCAGUUAGAAGGAUGAUGAUGAAUUUUUCUGCAUCCUUUCCGAAUCCUUCUUUGAUCAGUUUUAUCGUCUCCUUCUCCUCAGGUGUAAAUCGGUCGAUCUUUAACACCAACAAAAAGACAUGUGGUCCUGGAGCCAGAAGACUGACACAUUUGAUCAUCUCCUCAUGAACCUCUUCAUGGGACAAGCUGUCAUCAAACAGACCAGGAGUGUCGACCACAGCAACAGAGCGACCGUCCACUUCACCAUGUACUUUCUUACAGAAUUUGGUGACUGAAUUUUGGCUUAGUUCAGCCUCAAACUCUUUUCUUCCUAAGAUGGUGUUUCCUGAAGAGCUCUUUCCACUGCCAGUCUUCCCUAUCAGCACAAUCCUGAGACUCUCUGGGCUCUGCUUUUCAUCACCUGUGGAAUAAGGAGGGCCAAGAGUUACCUUUAAAUGCUGAGAGAUGCAACAGUAAAGACACUAAUGUGUAACAUCCUUAAACUCACAUAAAUAUGAAGUAUUUAUAAUCAUCUUUUUCAAUACUUACAAUCGGGCAUCCUUUUUGUUUUCACAUCCUGAAGUUCAGCCUGCAGUUUGCUGAUCUUCUCUAUUUGGACAUAUCCAAAUGUGUCUGUUGUGUAGCUUUGUGGUUUGUCUUUCUUAUUUUGCAUCUUUUCCCCCAUGUCCAGCAGCUGUUUCACUUGUGUUUUGUCCUUAUUGUCGAGCACCAAGAACCUUUUUUCACAGCUCUGAAUGAGCUCCUGAACUUCCUUGCUUUGGUCAAUAAAGUUAACAACAGCUGGAGCUGAAGGAUCUGACUCCACAGUGAACAGAAUCAUGGUGAAGUCAUUGACAGGAGGUCCAAAUGUGUCCUGGAUGGUCUUUAACUCUCCCUUGUCUUCAUCAGUGAGUGGACCCACAGGUAGGACCAGGAUAAAAGCAUGAACACCUUCAGGAUCACAGAGGGAGACACUUCUGAGUGACUGCUCCAUCACAGUCUCCAGAGGGUUUUCAUACAAAACAGGAAGCUCCACCAGAGACACCCAACGUCCACACACCUCCCCCUGAUGUUUCACACACUCUUUUGAGCUGGAGGCUGAAUGAAGACCUGUCUGACCUAAAAUGACCUCUGCUGCUGAAGUCUUCCCUGCUCCUCUCCUCCCACACAGGACCAGGUUUAACGCUGGUUUCAUCUCUUUGGACUUCAGUGUGAUCAGUUCAUCAGUCAGAGAGAGGGAGGCUCCUCUGUUCUCACUAAGGAUGUUCAUGAUCUUCAUCAUCAGUGACCUGUGGUUGUUUUCAGCCAUGCUGUAGUGUCUUUCUCUGCAGUCUUUAAGUAGAUGUCUAAAAGAGGCGCUUGCUUCUCCUUCCUCGUGUGUGCUGAUGACCAUUGAAUGUUUAAAAGCAUCUUGCUCAAACAAACUAAGGAUCAACUUCAGGGUCCGUCUGUUCUCCUCAGUGAAAUCAGAAGGUUUCAGCAACAGCAGCAGAACAUUUGGUCCUGGAGGACAGAGACUCACAGCGUUCUUCAGCACCUCCACAGACAGACUGAAAAUGUCUGGAGUUUUCACUACUGUUAAAGCCUGUCCUUCCCACUCUCCAGUCUCCACCAUUUCUUUGGUUACUAGAGGUUUUGUCAGAUGGUGUGUCAAGUCUUGUUUCUUUUGGGUGAUGAAG
rnacentral:lncRNA from 1 species